rnacentral:lncRNA from 1 species
GUUUGGCAACUGGGGUGAAGGGAUUGCCCUCCCCCUGCUGGGAUCCCCCCAGCCCCUCCGGUCUGGCAGGAAGGGGGCAGCCUGCAACCCCCAAGGGCAGGGGGCCAGAAGGGGCUCACAAAGGCUUGCCCUCCAGGGAGAUGACGGCACUGCCCCCCAGCUUCUCUGCCAGGGUGCAGCGGUCCUUGACCUCCUCGUAG